rnacentral:rRNA from 1 species
UUGGGGUGCUCGAGUGGCGAACGGGUGAGUAACACGUGAGUAACCUGCCCUUGACUUUGGGAUAACUUCAGGAAACUGGGGCUAAUACCGGAUAGGAGCUCCUGCUGCAUGGUGGGGGUUGGAAAGUUUCGGCGGUUGGGGAUGGACUCGCGGCUUAUCAGCUUGUUGGUGGGGUAGUGGCUUACCAAGGCUUUGACGGGUAGCCGGCCUGAGAAGGUGACCGGCCACAUUGGGACUGAGAUACGGCCCAG